rnacentral:tRNA from 1 species
GCCGGAGUGGUGAAACUGGUAGACGCAGAGGACUCAAAAUCCUCCGAGCGCAAGCUCGUGUCGGUUCGAUUCCGACCUCCGGCACCA